CGCGGUUUAGGUUCACACUGUUUAGGUUCACACUGUUUAGGUUCACACUGUUUAGUUCACACGUUAUUUAGGUGUCACACUGUUUAGGUUCAGGUGUUUAGGUUCACUCUGUUUAGGUUCACGCUGUUAGGUGAUGUUGUUUAGGUUCAUGUUGUUUAGGUUCACACUGUUUUGGUUCACACUGUUUAGGUUCAUGUUGUUUAGGUUCACUCUGUUUAGGUUCACGCUGUUUAGGUUCACACUGUUUAGGUUCACACUGUUUAGGUUCACGUUAUUUAGGUUCACUCUGUUUAGGUUCACGCGGUUUAGGUUCACGCUGUUUUAGGUUCACGCGAUUGUUUAGGUUCACACUGUUUAGGUUCACACUGUUUAGGUUCACACUGUUUAGGUUCAGUUGUUUAGGUUCACUCUGUUUAGGUUCACACUGUUUAGGUUCAAUCUGUUUAGGUUCACGCUGUUUAGGUUCACACUGUUUAGGUUCACACUGUUUAGGUUCAUUUGUUAGGUUCACACGUUAG
rnacentral:lncRNA from 1 species